AACUGAAAUGUGCCAAAAGUGCCUCCAUGAGCUCUGCUUCAUCCAGGCUAAUGGCUCAAAGCAGCAGGAUCUGCUCUCCAGCCAGCCAGGCAGCAAGCCAGUCAGACGUUUAAUCAGACAUCCAGCUUUUCCGUCAGGCAUCCAGCCAUACAGGCAGCCAGCAUACCUAUCAGUCAUCUAACCUGCUCCAGUUUGACUCCAACUUCAGUCAGCCAGCCAGUUAGCCAGGGAGAUGGUUUUCAGAUCAUCGGAUUUCCGUGCAGUGUCACCUGAAGUUCACCUGCAGCUUGUGAAGUUCUCCUCUGGCUGCUCUCUGCACAGCUUUACCGUCCAAGUCUCGGUCAGUGCAAAUUGUUGAUGGGU